rnacentral:hammerhead_ribozyme from 1 species
AUCUAGCUUACGAGUCCAAAAUAGGACGAAACGCGCGUCCUGGAU